CAGUAGCCGCGGUAAUUCGUAGGGUGCAAGCGUUAAUCGGAAUUACUGGGCGUAAAGCGUGCGCAGGCGGUCCGCUAAGACAGAUGUGAAAUCCCCGGGCUUAACCUGGGAACUGCAUUUGUGACUGGCGGGCUAGAGUAUGGCAGAGGGGGGUAGAAUUCCACGUGUAGCAGUGAAAUGCGUAGAGAUGUGGAGGAAUACCGAUGGCGAAGGCAGCCCCCUGGGCCAAUACUGACGCUCAUGCACGAAAGCGUGGGGAGCAAACAGGAUUAGAUACCCGCGUAGUCCCUGUCUCUUAUAC
rnacentral:rRNA from 1 species